rnacentral:rRNA from 1 species
UCGACCUGAGCUCAGGCAAGACUACCCGCUGUGUAUUAAAGC